rnacentral:misc_RNA from 1 species
AACGCACAUUGCGCCCGCCAGCACUCUGGCGGGCAUGCCUGUCCGAGCGUCAUUUCAACCCUCAGACCCCCCGGGGACUGGUGUUGGGGAUCGGCCCGCCCUGGUGCGGCGCCGUCCCCGAAAUAUAGUGGCGGUCUCGCUGCAGCCUCCCCUGCGUAGUAGCACACCUCGCAUUGGAGAGCGGCGCGGCCACGCCGUGAAACCCCAACUUCUGAUAGUUGACCUCGGAUCAGGUAGGAAUACCCGCUGAACUUAA